UGAACUUUCCAUUGUCCCCAGUCUUCAAAAACCUCUGCACAUCCUCAAAGAUGCAUUUUCUUUGAAUGCAAGAAAUAGUUGUCUUAGUUUCGUCCAACCAAUGAUUUUAGUUUUAAAGAAAUGGUAAUUUAUUUUCUGUAGGCACUUUGAUUUUCAUGGUUAGUUCCACUGUUUUAUACAUAAACUAGUGAAACCAUACCUAACCUAAUAAGGCUGGGUAAGGUUUGUUAUGCAUACAGGAAAGAUUAAGAUUGACACUAGACAUACCUAAUAAUUUUGUUAACUGCCAUCCCAUAUAAUGGAUAGUGUUAAUUUUCACAGGAAAUGGUAUUAUUAAGUGUUGUUUCUAUUGACCAAAUUAAGUCAUACCAUACAUCAAAUAAUUAGUAUGACCCAGGUGCCUGUAUACACACACAUACACACACACACAAAUGCAUCAUUAUUAAAGCCUUUUUUCCUUCCAACACCUGUGCUCCUGCAUCACAAACUUUAAGAAUAUCCCAAAAUGCUUUUCUACCCACUCUGUCAUAAGCCUUCUCUAGGUGAAUGUUGCAUAUAAUAUUUAUCUUUACCUGAGCAUGCCUUUAUUAUAAUUCUGAUUGCAAAAAUAUUCUCCAUAAUGCUUUCCUUUCUUAAAACAUCUAUGUUCCUCUAUGACCAUCAGCUUUAUCAAUAACUUACAUCAAUCAAUAGUUAAGACUCUCCCACAGACUUUUCCUGACACACUAAGCAAACCUAUCCCCCUGUAACUUUUGCACAUUCCUAUAACCCUUACCUUUAUAUGUACAAUAAUUGCCUCAAUCCACUCAUCAGUUACUGCCUCUCAUUGUUUCCAUGCCAGUUCCCAUAAUUGAAAUCAUCCAGUCCGCUAUCACUUCUCCAUACUUUAACUCUCUGCAGCUAUUCCAUCAAUGCCUAUAGCUUUGCCACACUUCACAACUAUUGUUUUCUAUUGUUUUUCCCCAUCUCCCUAACAAUUUCUCAUUCUCUACCUGCUUUCAUACUCAUGCUAAUUAUUAUUGCUUCUCCUGUCAUCUCAUUCAUUUGACAAUCAGUCUUUUCCAUGUAACUUACACAUCUUUCUUGCUGCUUUCAAGAACUUUAUACCCUCUCUUUAUUCUCACAAUCCCAUGCUUUUCUCCCCCUCUCUUUCUUGACUUUCUUCCAGAACAACUUAUUGUCAUUGAUUUUUUUUACAUUCAGUUUUCUACCAAACUUCUCAUCCACUCUCAUCUUACUUUCUCUUAUGAGUUCCUUCACUUUCAUAUUUCAAGACCUAUACUCUAAUUUCUCCUCAUGUUAAUUUCCUCUGACACAUUUCUCGGCAACAUUUUAUCAUAGGCCCUCUUCUCUUCCACAGCCACUUCCAUCUCGGCUAUCACCAUGCACUUUUUUUACUCUUAUCCCCAAGACUCCUUGCAGCUGCUUUGUAAUUACCAUAUCACUGAAUACUUUUAACAUCUUUACCCUCUGAGCCCUCCCCAAAUAUCCCUAACUUCUCUGUCUUUCACAUAUCUUCUUACAUUCCUCUCUACUACACACCUUCCUGUCCAGCUAUUCAAAUAACUUUCCACCAAUAUGCAUAUCACUGAUGUAUCUUUCAUUUUCAUCACAGCAUAGUGGUCUGACUAGAGUUCUAUUUAACUCUGUGGGACACACCCAUCAAGCAUCCCAUGGCAUGCCACACAUUUCCUUAAUUAAUCUCUCAUCCACUGCUAAAGUCAGUCACACUUUUCUGUUAAUUUUUAUCUUGAUAUCUCCUCCAUGUGAACCAGUGGAUCAUUUUAUGCUGGAAGGUAUUUUUUUAGUACACAACCAUGAAAUUCAUGCAUUCAUAACUAUCCCACCAGAAGUAUGUUCAUUGUACCAUGACAUGCUCUCUUUACUGCACAUACAGGAAUGAGAUAUAUUCAUUUACUCACAAACAAUAUAUUAGUAUGACACAAUAAUGCCAAUUUAGACUUGUUCCCUGACUUAUGCCAAGAGUAUGUUGUGUUGAGGACCACAAAUAUGUUCAUUAUAGCAUGACUUGCUAUCUUUACUGCACUUGUAGUAGUAAGGUAUGUGGAACAUUAAAUUCUCCAUCAAUUUACACACAAAUAAUGUCUCAAUACAUCAUAAUAAUGCCAAAAUGAGCUUCUUCCCUAUGUAGUCAUGGUGCCAUCACUAUUUAGGGACCAAAUAUAUGUUUAUUACUUCAUAUUUCCUUACUUUUCCUUACACACUAUUUUUUUUUUUUUUUUUGCAUAUACAACAUUGAGAUACAUACAUUGCUCGUGACUAUACACAAUAAGCAUGUAUACCUUCUCCAUAAUCCUGUUGUAAGCUGCCAUGCCACACUUUCUGCAAGCCACAACAUCUACUCCCAAGCCACACAUGUGUAGAAGACAUACCUAAACACUGUCCAUGCCACACUUUGUUUCAUGACAUCAGGCCUAUGGCUGGAUUCAUCAAACUUACCAGCUAGACCCUCUUACAAGGGCCAAGUUACCAUACUGCUACCAGAGCUGGUAAAUUGCUAUUCAGUAAUGACAUAGUAGGGGUCUGGUAAGGUAUGAGACCUGUUGCAGCUAGUAGCUGCCAGAGGGUUCUGGAAGCAGGGAACAGCCAAUCAACUCCAAGCUUACAUAAGAUGUGGUAGGCUUACAUAUGCAUGUGCUUACAAACAUAUGGCUUGAAAUUCAGAAUAUUUCAGUACAUGCAUGUAUAAUACCUCUGUCAUUUUAGUUAAUGGUGCCUCAUGAGGUGUUUUAUCAUUAUAAUGUUUAAUAAAAUGUUCACUCUACAUGGCCAGUGCCUAAUCUGUAUACAUAUAUCUAAAAAAAACCAUCACUAGCAUUGAAACAAAAAAAAAAUGAUAAAAAAAUGGCCUCACAUAAAAAUAUUAUUGAAUUUUACACGUUACCCUUCAUUACCUACUGUCAAGCAAAUCAUUGGCUUACAGCAGCAUCAAACAUGAAAAUGGCAGAACCUGCUAGCAAGAAACAGCACCCCAACUUCUCCAGUGGGAAACUCCUGAUGCUCCUUUUAGUGGUCGUCAAAGUAAGGUGGAAUACAAUUGUUGGCCCUCUCUCCUUGCCUCACCAGCACCAUGAAGGAGCAUGUGUGGGUUGCUGUGGUGGCUGAAGUGAACGCUGUGAGCUGCGUACUAUCAGGAGCCUCAGUGAAGUGAGGAACAAGUUCACUGAAUUUAAAAGCAACACAAAAAAAAGAAAGUUGCUGAACUGCACAAGGAGCAGGCAGCUACAGGUGGAGGGCCAAGCACUCAACUUACCCUGACAGAUGUCGAGAAACUAAUGGCACAGCUGUUGGAUCCUGUUGCAGUGAUAGGCAUGCCUAGCAGUCUUGAGACAGAGCAGGAGGAGGUCACAGUCAUGGAUGAAGAGGGCCAUAUGGAACAAUAUAUUUUGCCUCAUCAUUCAGCCACACUUGCUGAUGUAGCUGAGGCAUCCAGAUUGUCCUCACCUCAGCCAGGGCCAACCCAGCAAAGCCACCACCAUCCAUCAUCAGUGCAGCCCACAUCACUCCGCACUCUCCUUAUCCAGCCCUCUUCAUUCCACACUCUCCCUGUCCAGCCCUCAUCAUUCCACACUCUCACUGUCCAGCCUUCAUCACUCAGCACUCUCCCUGUCCAACCCUUAUCACUCCACCCUCUCCCUGUCCAGCCCUCAUCACUCUCAUCACUAUCUCCCUCUCAAGCUCCUUCACCUGCUUUUGGGUUCAGCAGGAAUCAAAACACCACUGCCAUCACGAUCUACCUCUCAACCUCCUUCACCUGCUGCUGGACUUAGCAGUCAGCACACUCCACAUGGAGCUCAUCUCCAUCUCCCCCUCAAGAAACUUUGCCAGCUGCUGGUCUGGUCCCAGGUGGAGGCACACAGGCAGAAAAUCUGGCAAUGCCUUGGAUGAUGGAGAUACAGGAAGGCAUCCUCACAGAAACCAGAAAUAUGAGGGUUGCCAUGGAGAGGUUGGGAAGCCAAUUAGAAAUAAUGAAUAAUAAUUUAAAUUAGUAUAUGGGUUUGAGAGCCAGCUGCCUUGUAAAAAUUACUGAAAAAAAUUAAUGAUAAGAUUUGCUGUUUGCUGUUAGUUUUAUGUUAUUAGCAUGUUCUUUCUAAGUUUUAGUAUGAUAGAUUAUUAUUAUGUUACUUUUUAGUCUUAUUAUAAUAGUACAUUAUUAGCAUGUUACUUUUAUGUUUAAUUAUAUAUUAUUAGCAUAUUAUUUUUUAAUGUAACUAUGGUAGUAGAUUAUUAGCUUUACUUUUAAGAU